AGAUGAGUGAAACACCCCGCUCACAGGGGACUGUGGGCGAUGCCGGAGCGUGGCCUCCCCAGCUACGAGACGGCCGUGCCUUCGCGCACGCACCCGGGGCCUCGCGCUCCGGAAUUCCUCACCGAUCGGA
rnacentral:ncRNA from 1 species